rnacentral:rRNA from 1 species
AGCAGCCGUGGUAAUUCCAGCUCCAAUAGCGUAUAUUAAAGUUGUUGCAGUUAAAAAGCUCGUAGUUGAAUUUCGGGAUUAAUAUGUUGGUCGUGCCUUGGUACGUACUGGCAUUAUUGAUUCCUACCUUCUGAAGAACCUCGAUGUCAUUAAUUUGGUGUCUUGGGGAAUCAGGACCGUUACUUUGAAAAAAUUGAGUGUUUAAAGCAGGCUCGCGCUUGAGUACAUUAGCAUGGAAUAAUGAAAUAGGACGUUUGAUUCUAUUUUGUUGGUUUCUAGGAUCGACGUAAUGAUUAAUAGGGAUAGUUGGGGGCAUUAGUAUUCAAUUGUCAGAGGUGAAAUUCUUGGAUUUAUUGAAGACUGACUACUGCGAAAGCAUUUGCCAAGGAUGUUUUCAUUAAUCAAGAAC